GAAUAUCAUAUCUCUCAUCUUAUGUUUCUGUGUAGCACACAUAUUUUGCAGAAAGAAUAUAUUAUAUCUUUUAAUGCUUUAUAAAUUUGCUUUAGCACUGCGACUUUUAUGUUUCAGUUAAAAUCCCCCACCGGCGCGAACAGCCUACCCUUAUGAUACUGUAUCAAAGUGGGUAAGCGCGCGCAACAUUCAAAUCCCGACUCCGUUAUAAUAAUAGAGCGUAAGUGUCCCCCCCCCCCAGUAACGAGAGGACAUGGCUGCGAAGGCGGCGGAAGACAUCAGCGAUAUGGAAUUUUAUGCGGAGUGUUGCAGGGCGUUCGGGUACAUUCGAGUAGAAACAACUAAUUUGUAGUUAUACUCCCGAAAUUUUCAUGAUACAUGUGGGCAAAAAAAAACCAAGGACGAUACCUUAUAAACAAUUCAGUCUAGAAAAAAAAUAUUCCUUUAUUUUAUAUUCUUAUAUAUACUCAAUGUAUCAUUUCUGGUUUAGUUAUUGCGGAAAAGUUAAUUGCGUAAACUUUGUUUGUAGAAUUUAUUACAGUUUGUACUAUUAAGAUGAUAUCGUUCAAGUUAUGUUUAAUCUGUUUAUAUUUAUUUGUCAGUGUCCCAGGGUGGGUGGCCUCACUGCUGUGCGCUGCGUCGCGGCUAAAGAGCGACAAAGCCCGGCGGAAGAAGACCUAUAAACUCAUCCACCACGAACUAGUACGGGAAGACGCGCUCCCUCUUUCCUAAUCACCUUUGUUUGACACGAUAACCUUUGCCUUUAAGCCGGAAAGACUGCAUUUUAACCCUCCCUGUCAUUCAGUUCAAGCAUAAAGUAGGCUGUGGUAAAAGCCAUCGGAAUCGUCCCACGUACGUGUAUCCGCAGGAGGUGAAAGGGCUGAUACGCACGGUGUUCCCAAAGGGCGUAUGCGACUACCCGGAUCCCAGCCACGCAGAGGAUUGGGCACUAUCGGAGUCAUACCCGGAAGAGGCGGGACAUAAACAAAAGUCGCCAUUGUGGCUCCAAUGGUCGCGGCUACGCAGAUUAUAGGCCGCGUUCUGUACGGUGUAUUGUUCAAGGGAGGAAUCCUGCAGCUGCCUCCUCUGGCCGUGAAAGGCAUCGCACGUGUACCAUUAUCAAUACGCAGUUCCAUUCAUUCAACGCAGACUGCAAUGUCGGAACUGAUCUCCGUGGACUACGAGGUGUUCGGGGAAGUGCAAGGUGUUUUCUUCCGAAAGUAUACAGAGCAAGAAGGAAAAAGACUGCAGCUGGUCGGCUGGGUGCGAAACACCAACCAGGACACUGUGGAGGGUCAGAUCCAAGGUCCGAAGGAAACUGUGGAAAAGAUAGGGAGCCACAUCUCCAAAAUAAUUGUUUAAUUGAGUUGAAAGGAAACUAAUACAGGGCACCCGUAUCCUCUUCCUUGGGCUGCCACCUCAGUCCCGUAAAAUCCUGGACAGCCAGUCAUUGACCAAAAGUAGUGCACACAGCAACACCAUUCCAAAGGUUUGUUUAGGAAGGACUGGUUGAGGAAUACUGGGAGUCCCAUGUCGCGCAUCGACAAAGCCACGUUCGCUAACGAGCACGCUAUCCCUGCACUGCAGUUCACCUCCUUUACCACUAGAUACUGACGUGUUUUCACCACUGCACACCAGCCCCAGCGGUCCUGAGUGUUGAGGCGGCACCGUCUGAUGGCUUUGUGAAGUAAAUCACUGACUGACUAACAGGAUUAUGGAGUCACAGGCUAGAAAGCAGGAGAAAAGGCAAUGCCAUAUAUGCUUGAGAUUACUGUUAUAACAAAGCGUGCCAUUCUGAAAACCUCACUUCAACAGCAGUGAUAUUACUCUAGAACUAUUGCAUAAUGUGUUAUUUGAAACCAAUAAAAUAAAAACAGAAA